GAACGGUAGCACAGAGAGCUUGCUCUUGGGUGACGAGUGGCGGACGGGUGAGUAAUGUCUGGGAAACUGCCCGAUGGAGGGGGAUAACUACUGGAAACGGUAGCUAAUACCGCAUAACGUCUUCGGACCAAAGUGGGGGACCUUCGGGCCUCACACCAUCGGAUGUGCCCAGAUGGGAUUAGCUAGUAGGUGGGGUAACGGCUCACCUAGGCGACGAUCCGUAGCUGGUCUGAGAGGAUGACCAGCCACACUGGAACUGAGACACGGUCCAGACUCCUACGGGAGGCAGCAGUGGGGAAUAUUGCACAAUGGGCGCAAGCCUGAUGCAGCCAUGCCGCGUGUAUGAAGAAGGCCUUCGGGUUGUAAAGUACUUUCAGUGGGGAGGAAGGCGAUGGAGUUAAUAGCUUCGUCGAUUGACGUUACCCGCAGAAGAAGCACCGGCUAACUCCGUG
rnacentral:rRNA from 1 species